AUUGAAGAACUGCGUGCACGCUUCAAUGCUGCAAUAGCUUCAAGUGGAUCAACCUCUCAGACUGGGAAAGGUCCACCUCGUAACGGUUCGGAUAACAUCAUAAAGAUCCGGACGCAGUUCAAGACUUUUCUGUCAGAAGCAACUGGCUUCUAUCAUGAUUUGAUGGUGAAAAUCAGGGCAAAGUAUGGCCUGACAGUAGGAGGUUUCUCUGAUGAUCCAGGGGAUCAGAUUCCUUCUUCUAAUGAAGCUAAUAAGUCUAUUGAGGUGAAGAAAGGCUUGGUAUCCUGCCAUCGUUGUUUGAUUUAUCUGGGUGAUCUUGCUCGGUACAGAGGCUUAUAUGGUGAGGGUGACUCUAAAGCUCGUGACCUUGCGGCAGCAUCAAGUUAUUACACGCAAGCUUCUUCAUUGUGGCCAUCAAGUGGCAACCCUCAUCAUCAGGUAUCUUUUUUUUAAUUUGGUUUUGUUCUGAAUGACCAUUGACAAAUCUUUUCAACUGUUGGAGGGUUUGAGUUAGAGAAUAGUGAUCAAUAACUUAUCAUUGAUUAAUAUUUCUAUGCGACAGAUAUCUUAUGUAAAAAUUGCUGAUUCUGUGUUUUCUCAGCUUGCAAUAUUGGCCUCCUAUUCCAGUGAUGAGUUGGUGGCAAUCUAUCGGUAUUUUCGUAGUCUUGCAGUAGAGAAUCCUUUUACGACUGCAAGGGACAACCUGAUCAUUGCAUUUGAGAAGGUAAAAAACUUAUUUAGUUGUUGCUUUAAGAGCUUUCAUCUUUGCAUCAGAUCUUUGAAAUGUGUCUUUCUGUCGUCUGUCUUCUUGACAUUUGUUAAUUGGAAAAAGUUAUUUGGAGACGUUGCAAUAGCUUUGUUGUGCCAAUCCCAAAGGCAUAACCAAAUAAUCAUAUUUCAAAUUAUGGAUUUUCCGCCUGGAAUGAAUCAAGGAACUAAGGAUGUUCCUAACAUAAGAUGAUCAAAUCCAUGGUUGAGAAAGUUCCAUUCUUGAUAGAGGUGAUAAUAAAGUAAAAGGAAAUUGAUCCAACCUGAAGUUGUUAGGUCUGUAAUAAUAAACUUUUUCACCGAUUUUAAUUAUGCAACAUUGUCUUCUAUUUUCCGUUCUUGUCUUAUUGGUGUACUGUGAUCAACUGUUCCCACAAUUAUAAGGCGACUCUGCGCAUCUUUGAUUUUGUCUCUUGUUCCUUAAAAUUUUGAUCUGGGUAGGUAUUUUGCUUCCUAUCCCAAGUCUUAACAGUGAUUAAUUUUCAAAAACAUGAUUAGAAAUCUCUUAAAAAGAAAGAAAGAAGAGGAAUUGGGUAAGUUAAAAGUCUCCUGCGAAAAGCGACUGGGGAUAAGUAUGCAAUAAUUGUUCCUGUUAAUGUAGACAAUUUCGUGUCAUGUGUAGAAAACCUUGUUGUGUAGGUUCUCUAUUUGUAUUUGUUUAUCACUUAUACAGCGUUCCCACACAAUUAAACCUUUACUUUGUUUUGAGAAAAAAAGAAUACAUGUCAAUACUUGUGUAUGUUCCUAUAUUUGGAAUCCUAUUAUUGUUAGUGUUAUUAUCAACAAUUGUUGUAUGCUUAAUAUGUACAGGUUUAUUUAUUUUCUCCCGGCCUUGGUUCUGUGGUUGUUUAUGUUUUCCCCCUCCCUUUGUCCCUUUUCCUGAUGUGUACUAAGUAGCUUCAUUAUGCUUCUUGUGUCAUGGAAGUAAUUACUUACCCAAUCCAAGAUAAUUUACUAUUAAUCUUUUGAGGGUGAUAAACUACUUAUAUGGAUUGGUAAAAUGAAAAAGAAAUAUGAAUUACUGUAUUAUUAAGAGAGAAGAAUGACAUAGAACAUAGGUGUAGCUUAUGUUAAACAGUAUAAUUAUGAACUUUUUUUUUUUUAAAAAAAAUAGACAAAAUACUACUUGUAGGAAGUUCUUGUGAUCUUGUAGUGGAACUUUGAUUUUCAUCUAUCAGUUGUGCUGGGAGCGUGAACUUCAAUUUGCACCUUUUUUCUCUGGUUUGUCAAUGAGUGAUCAAGAUGUGAUUAUCUAGUAUAUAUUUCGUAAGUGUUCAAGUUCUGCCUGAAAGAGAAAUUUUUGUAGAAGUUUUCUGCACAUGUUUUCUUUCCGUUUGGACUGUUGGCUAUGUGGAUGGUCUUAGUGUUAAUUGAUUUCUCUGUUAUGGCAGAAUCGUCAAUAUUUCUCCCAGCUGCCAGUGGAUGCUAAGGCUUCGUCUACCAAGGUAACUCCUUCCCGAACAACUGGUAGAGGACGAGGUAAAUAUGAAACAAGGCCGUCUCUGAAAGAUGGAAAGGUUGAGGCAAGUUUACCAAAGGAAAAAGCAUUGAGUACAUCUGAAAUCUUCAAAACCUUUAGCACAGGGUAUGUUCGGUUGAAUGGCAUUCUCUUCACGCGCACUAGGUAUGUUCCUGUCUAAUGAAUAAUAUGAUACUGACGAUAACAUAACUAAGUAAUGACACUAUCUUCUUAUAAUCUUUACUCAGCUUGGAGACCUUUGAUGAAGUGUUGUUGAUGGUUAAGAAUGAUCUGCUUGAGCUUCUCUCUUCUGGGUCUGAUGAGAAGUAUAAUUUUGGUUCAACUGCUGCUGACUGCAGACUGGCAAUUGUCAGGCUCGUGGCCAUCUUAAUAUUCACCAUCCAUAAUGUGAUUAGGGAAAAUGAUAAUCAGUCAUAUGCCGGGAUUCUACAAAGAUCAGUUCUUCUGCAGAAGGCAUUUACUGCUGCUUUUGAGUUCAUGGGUCAUCUGGUUGAGAGAUGUAUCCAGUUAAAUGAUCCCUCAUCAAGCUUCUUAUUGCCUGGUAUUUUGGUUUUCGUAGAAUGGUUAGCCUGCCAUCAAGAUAUUGCACUUGGUAAUGAAUCAGAGGAAAACCAAGCUAGGGCUAGAUCCUGUUUCUGGAAGAACUGUAUAAGUUUCUUUAAUAAGCUAAUGUCAACUGGGUCUAAGUUUGUCGAUGAAGAUGAAGAUGAAACAUGCUUUUUCAAUAUGAGCAGGUAUGAUGAAGGUGAGACUGGCAAUCGUCUUGCGUUGCCGGAAGACUUUGAACUCAGAGGAUUUGUUCCUCUUCUUCCAGCACAGCUUAUCCUUGACUUCUCAAGGAAAUGUUCUUUUGGUGGUGAUAGUGGAAGUAAAGAGAAGAAGUGCCGUCUUCAGAGGAUGAUUGCAGCUGGAAAGGUUCUUGCUACUGUGGUCCGGGUUGGAGAAGAGGGAAUAUAUUUUGACACAAGGGGAAAGAAAUUUGUCAUUGGUAUGGAGCCCCAAACUUCUGAUAAUUAUCUACUUAAUGGCUUAAAUGGUACCAAAUUAAGUGGUAUUGAACUGGAAAGUCCAGAUGCUGGACAGUUGACUGUGGGAGAUCUUCUGCCGAAGCAGCAAUUGUAUGUGGAAUGUGAAGAAGAAGACGAAGUUAUUGUUUUUAAGCCAUCAGUGAUAGAAAAAUCUAAUGACAUCUCUUCAAGUGCUAUGACCUCAGCGGUUCCUGUAGCUGGUAUUAGUGUUGUCAAUGCUUCUUCUGGUGCUAGCAUGGAGUGUGUUGAUUCGUGUUGUGAGAUGGGGCCAUUUCCAUCUGCACUCGAUGGAUUGAGGUUGCAGAAUGGUUGGAGUACUACAAGGCUGCCAACAAGCAUUUCUCUUACUAAUACCCAAUAUAUGCAGGCAAUCCAACCAAGUACUUCAAUGUGGUCUGUAGAGCAAGGUGCUUUUAUGAAUGGAUUGGGUGGCUUGAGCUUGACAGGAAAUGGGCUAAUGACAGAAGCUGAGUUGCUAAAUCAUCCAGAAAUGGUGUCACCUGCAGCAGCACAUUCAGCUCCUUUGCCACAGUCUGUGAAGUUCAGCACUGCAAAUAAUAUUCACUUCCAGGUUCCUGAGGCUGCUAUGUCAUCUACCUUCAGUUCACUUGCACCCUCCGUAGCUUUCUCCGAUAGCAUGUCAAUGAAAUCUUUAGCAAUUACUCAAACAGGAAUGAAGAAAAAUCCAGUGUGCCGACCUGGUAGGCAUCUGGGUCCACCUCCAGGGUUUGGUUCUGUUUCUUCCAAAGUAGAUGACUCUUCAUUUGCGUCGACACUUAAAAAUGAAAAUAACCCCAUCCCUCGUAUGGAUGAUUAUAGCUGGUUGAAUGGAUAUCAGUUACCUUCAGCACAUCAGAGCAUUGUUUACAAUAACUCGGACAAUCAUUCAGCUCAACCAUAUCACUCUGUAAGCAAUAGUAGCUUAGUCGGGAUUAGCUUUCCUUUCCCUGGGAAGCAGGUGCCCUCUCUGCACAUGCAGUCAGAUAUCCAGAAAGCAAAUAACCAAUCUGUUGGAUUGCCUCAGCAGUAUCAAGGACAGUCCCUGUGGCAAGAUCGUUUCUUUGUGUGACGUGGAUAGUGAGACUAGAUGGUGAAGUGCAUCUUCCUUGUUCUUUUAAUUCAUUAAGUUACUUGAAACAAAUUAUUGUGUUCUUCCAUAUACCAUAUUAUACAUUCGCUUAGUUGUAUUUCCCAAUGCUGUACAGGUUAACAAUUACUGGGGAGAAUGACGGCUAGCCUGUUGCUACGAAGUUCAAUCAUCAUAUUGCAGUAUGGCCAAGGUUAUUAUGUUUUUGUUGCAGCAUGGAUGGUCUUGGAUAGUUGCUGGCACUCGCUAUUGAGCAGGUAUUUUCUGCUACCUUAUCUCCCUGUUUCUCUCCCCCUUCUGGUUACUGUUUGACCUGGUGAGUAAUUUUUCUUAGUCCAAAACAAUCAUACUUGAGUGGAUAAGACAGGGUCCUCCAUCUAACUUUCCAUACAUAUGAAGAUGUUCCAGCUAUCAAUUAGCUGCAUGUCAAUGAUUAGGCAGUAUGGGUCACAUGUCAUACAUAAGCUAAUGGCUUCAUAUCUUUCCCCUCUCUCCCCUUUUCAUUUCUCUAUCUUGAUCAUGCGGGACAUACUCAAAACAAACGAGAGAUGGUUCUUUCUGGACAGAUCUCUGUUGGACACCUCUCCCUCCCCCUUUUCUUUUCUUCUAAGAUCAUAUAUUUACUAUAACCUACUACGCACUUGCCUAUACCAUGUCUCAGUUGUCUCACACCGGCCUGGUUUGUGAUGGUAUUUUUCCUGUUAUUCCUCGGGGAGUCUGGGCAAUGAAUAGUUAGAUCUGGAUGCGUGCAUCUCUUUCCUUCUGAACUUAAAGGAAUUGGGGAUAAAACAGCAGUGCCUCCAUGAUAUGUUUCACUUGUCUGCGUUUAACUUGCCCAAUUCCAAUGUCUGCUUAGACUUUUACCUCCCUCUUGUCAACGUCAAUUUAUUGGGAGAUUUCUAUGUCAAGUUUUCCCGUGCUAACAAAUGUAGUAAUUUUCUGUUUGUCAUCUUCACCACUAAAGUCUCUCUGGGUUUGGUGCAGCUUGUGCCGAGCUAUUCAAACUGGUUGAGUAGAGACCGAGGUUAGUAGGUGCAGGAAUUUGGGAGCUUUUGGAUUAAGAAACCUUGUCUUGGUUGGAUUGAUAAUUGUACGGCUGAGGGAUCAGGCUUUGGUGGAUAUCUGUUUAGAGCAGAAGCAACAGUAAAUCUACCAUGGUUUAUAAAUGAUCUCGACAAAAAGAGUUCUGCUACUUGUGAGCAAUUUUCUACAAUACACAAUUAAGGUUAGAUAUCUUGGCAGUUCCAUAUCUGCCUUGUGUGAAGUUCUGAGAGUAUUUUGCUUAAAGAUGAUGGCGAAGGAUUUGUUAUCGUUGGAGUACUUUGUGGUUGUUAGUUGGAAAUAAGUAUUAGCCUAUGGCUAUCUUGGUACUGUGUCUUAGUGGCAACAAUUAUCUUGUUAUGUUUGUUCUGUUGGACAAAUUGCUGGAUUGUUCUUUUUUUGUUGGAUUAUUAAAUAAUGUUUUGUUAGUUCUUUUGGUGACAUGAUGCCCUUAUAGAUCUUGCUAUUGCAAAUAUCAUUUCCCAUGUUUGGUUCGGAAUGAUAAUUUGAUUAUAAAAUUUUGUUCGCGGCAUCAAUGUAAAUAGCAAAUUCUAUUGACAUAGACCUCGUUUGGACGGGUUUAUAGCUUAUGACUCAUGAGUCAUUCAAGUGUGGAAGAAUCUUUGACUUAUAGUUUAUUACCUUAUUUUUGUUAUUUUAACUUCAAUAGAAGUGUGUCGAAAGAAUCUUUUUUUUUUUGAAAAAAAUUAUCUAAAUAUUUUUUCAAGUGUUUACGUAGAAAUAUAUAAAAUAAGUAAUAAGACAAAGGAGAUGAUUCAUAUUGACUUCAGCUAGAGAAGUUGAAUCCUGGUUGAUGAAUAUUAUAUAACAAAAAUCAAAAUCAGUCAUCUAUAAGGGAAAAAACAAAUAAGUGAAUGAAUGUAGCAAUAUUAAUAUUUGAAAAUUAUCUUUUUUAUGUAACUUUUUUCGUAUUAUAUAAGUAUCCUUUUCGGAUCUCACUUAUAAAGAAACUUCAAACUGGAGCAAAAACAAACCACUUGCCUUUUAUAAGAGAUUAAAUAGAACAAAAAUAAAUUAUCCACUGCUACUUGCCCUUUUAGUGGGUCGUGAUGCGAAUUUAAAUUAGUAGUGUGUUAACUUGCCCUUUUAGUGGGUCGUGAUGCGAAUUUAAAUUAGUAGUGUGUUAACGUGGAUGCCAGACUCCAGAUGGAAAGCCAAAAAAAAGAACAGAACACCAUAUGUUCAUGAACCAUACUGAAAAAAAAGAACUCAUAAUGUUUGAGGGGCCUAGUCAAUUGACAAUUAAAACUUCAUAUCAAGACAAAGUUAAUUUGCAUCAAUCCUUUUACAACUUUUUCUAUACAAUUGCUAUCAAAAUAGAAUAUAUAUAUAUAUAUAUCUAUAAUUUAACAAAAAACUUUCAGAAUCACAGGACAAAAACUCCAUGAAGCAUGAGUUCUUCUAAGCUUCAACAACAAAAAAUGUUGAAAUCCUUCACAAUACAAGAUCCAUCUUGCAGCUUGAACUCCUCUAAUCAAAUUUAAAACUUUCAAGUAUGAAAUUCCUUUAUUAAUUGUCCUCUACAAAAACCUUGAAUAUGUAAUCGCGAAAACGCCUUGAAUAUGCCAUUGGAUCAACUGCUGAGAUAGAAUUUGGAUCACAUUGUAUAGACUUAUAUGCAUGUUCAAGCUUUUUGGUAAUGUCAUAGUCUUGAAGUAUAUCAAUUAUUCCGAAAAAUAGUGUCACAUCAUACAACUCCCCUGUUGGUUCUCCUACCAGCUGAAAAUCCAAGUCAUUUUUCCUGAAUGUCUUCUCAACUCUUGCAGGCAUGUUUAUUCCUAGACUUAUGUUUGUCAACCUGCAUUACUUAAAGUCAUAACAUAAGCUGCACGUUCGAUGAUGAAAAGUACUUACUAGUUGUGUUGCUCAGACUCUUCAAAGAUGAUGUGCUGUCAGAUCCUAGUAGUGCAUUUUUCUUGACAGGGGAAUGACAACAUUUUUAGGUAGUCCGAGCAACACAGCUUAGAAGAGAUGAUCUUUAGUCCUAGUUCGAUUACCACAUGAAGACUAAAAUGUCAAGUUUACUUAUUGAGAAGAUUGCAGACUUGACAGAUGAAAAACUUACCCUGCAGGAUUAAGAAGUAAUAGAUCCACAUCUGAUUUAGUAAACCGAUGAAUUGGUUCAGCAUCUGUGGUUCCAUUUUCUGCAAACAUUAGGAAAAGAAUGAUGGUUUCUUGUUUUCUUACAAUAAAGUUUGAGCCUUUAUUAUGAGGAGAGUUAAUCAGCAGUUGAGAUAUGUCGCCGAGCUUAGAUUGUUUGGGACUGAGGCGUAGUAUUGACAAAUGUAAAUGUGUAAGUGUUAUAAGAUUAGAACUAACCGAUAGGCGUCCUACAGCCUGAAGGAGUUUGAUAUCCAGUACUAGCAUUUCCUUCCCUAAAAUUUACACCAACUAAAAGACUAUAAUCCAUUACUCUUUCCUGUUCCAAGAGCUCACAAUCCCUAUCAACUUGCCUGCAAUAUCAAAGAAAUUUUCGAGCCAGAGGUGGAUUCAGGAUUUAAACUUAAUGCUUUCAAGAUGCUCUUUCUUGCAAUACCAAUUGAGACUAGAUAUCGGUAUUGAUAUAAUAAUAAGGAAUUAACGCGAAGAAACAAAUUUUACCUUCGGAACUCUUCAAACCAUGACUUUUGUAACUUGAAUAUGAAGUUGAGAUCAAGGUCUUUAAGAGUAGUUGUUGUAUCAAUUUCUGAUUCUGGUUUAUCUGUGAUCCUGCCAAAAGUUGAUCCUUUCAAGUCGAAGCGUUUAUGAAUAGUGUAAUUGGUGCAGAAGAGAUUCCCAAUGAUCACGAACCGGACCUAGUUAAACCAUUGAUACAAGUUCUUUUGGUAAGUAACUUAACUAGUGUUCAAUUUCAAUGCAUUAUAUGUAAGUAUACCUUCUUUUGAGCUGGUCCAUUUAGCUUCAGGCAAUGCAGACCAUAGUAUCUAGUCACAAGGGUGUUCUCGAAAGCACGGAAAUGAUCAUAAUACGCAUUUAGCAUCCUUAAAAGUACCUAAUGAUCAUUCAUUGACAAGAAAAAAUCAGAAAGGAACAUGUAGUUUGCAGAACGAAGAAACGAUGACUUCUCUGCAAUGCUUAAAAAGUUUGAGUUGAGGGUCUAUUAGAAAGAGUCUUUCUGUCCCUCACCUUUACUUCUGCCUUUUUCAUUGUCUUGAUCAUAUAUCUAUCAUCAUUUGUCAAGUAAAAAAAACUUCCACUUUUUCCCGGAGAGCUUAGCUCUCUAAGGGGGCCACAAAUAGACAACAUAUACUCCGUUGCAUCCACCUUGAACAACGUUCUCAGAGCCCUGCACAGUAUCAUGUCGAAUAUAACGUUUACUUUUUGUUCUUUAAGUAUACUAAGUUGAUAACAUUGCAUAGUGAGGCAUCAUUACCUGAAAACUUUUGGGCAAUAAUCUUUCCAUCUGAACUCACAAGACUGAUGGCGUGGCGUACUCUUGGAUCCUUCAGGUGGAAAUCUUGUCCAGUACUUCUCUUUCGGAUCAAAAGCUGAUGCAUCAAGAUCGAGUGUUGGAGGAGGGCCAAGCUUUUGUACUGUAUGCCUAUAUGGUUAUUCACAUUACAAGGUACCAUAAACAAACAAAAAAUACUCUUCUCAGUCUAGAAAACGCGCAAUAAUAUGACAGAUGCUUACAGGUUUUCGAUAAGUUUUAUACACCGACUGUAUAAAGAAACUUCACAUUAUCAGUGUAGUUUCAUUUAUCAUAGCAAGUCAUUUACCAUUUUUUUCCAGGCUUCAUGUUUAUAAAUGCUUAUUAUAUAAAGUUAAGUGAUCUGUUAUGUAAAUAUGUUUUAUCUGGUUAGUACAUAUAUAGAAACUAGAACUGUAAUAAAGGGCAGUUCGGUGCACGAAGCAACAAUCAUACUGUGAUUUCACAGCUAAAACCUAUAGAUCACUCGGAGACAACUUUACCAUAUCUUUCUGAAGAAACUAGAGCUGUAUAUGAAAGUAAAUUUAACUACCUGAUUCCCAACUGCAAAUUGAGCAUAAGCUCAUAAUUCUUAUGCCCUUUAGAUAUUGUGAUUCCUUGCCUUUUGACAACCUUAGGAAUCUUAAUAGGACUCCCACUUUUAUAUCCAUCAGAUUCUAGCAAAGCAACCAUUGCGUCGAUAUCUGAACAAGAAUUACUUGUAGUAGCAACUAAUGUUGUUCCAACUCCAUCUGAUAACUGUAUUCUACUAAACUCAGUAUCAGUUGAACCGUCUAUGGACAUCCUCCUGGUCGUCCUACUGUUGUCUACAGGCUUUGACGAUGACAUCCUGACAGCGAGUUUCUUCUGUGAAGGCAAGACUGAAAGUAUAUCAUUUGGUGAGAUAGUACAUCCCAUCAAAUCCACAUUGAAAACUUGUUGAGGAUCCCAUUCAAAAUUCCCCCUUUGUAACAAUGACUCAGAUGGAUAAAAAGUUCCAUUCAAUUCAUCAGGAUCUCUACUCCAAUUGCCAAUAUAAUAACUUCCAUCAGCCCAAUGAAAAGUACCUUUGCCUUUAGGCAAUCCAUCUUCCCAGUUGCCUUCAAACAAAUUACCAUUUUUCCAAUACAAUUUUCCAUCACCACAGAUAGUACCAUUAGCCCAUUGACCCACAUAAUAAUUUCCAUUUUUCCAAGUAUACUUACCAUUAGUUUCUUGUAAUCCUCUACACCAUUCCCCAUCAUAACAAUCACCAUUUGCAUAUUCAUUAACCCCAUUUCCAUGUUUUAAAUCCAUUAACCAACAACCUCUAAAUGUAUCACCAUUUGGUGCUGUAUAAGUACCUUCACCAUCCAUAUAACCAUUCUUGAAAUUACCUUCAUACAUUGCACCAGAAGGCCAACUAAAUACACCUUGGCCUUUCAUUUUACCUUUACUCCAAUCGCCUACAUACAUACAUCCAUCCGUCCACCAAUACUUACCUUGUCCAUUAGGUAAAUUAUCGACCCAAUAUCCCGUAUAGUAAUCUCCAUUUGAUAGAAAUUUCUCUAAUUGAUAUGUUUCACCAUUCAUUGGAUGGUAGUAAUCUUCUCCAUCAACAUUUUCUUGUUGUUGUACAUCUUCUUCUUCCACUAUUUCUUUUUCUUUGUUCAUGUUGUUGUUAUUAAACUCACCUUCAUCAAUUUGUGUUGUUGGUCCAUAGGUUCCAAAUAUUGUAUGUGCUCUUUUUCUAGCUACCAAUUGUGUUUUUCUAACCGUUGCUUCCAAUGCCUUCAUGAUUAUUUGUUUUUCAAGAUCAACAUGAAUCCUUUUUCAUCAAAAAUCUGAAAAAAAUAAAAUCACUCUGUUACACUUUCUUGAUCCAACAAUAUUGUCUUCUUUCUCUAUCCUCUCUUACGUGUGAUGUAACAAAACAGACAAUUAACAGAAACCAACAACAUAUUGUAUUCAUUCUCUCAAUUUUUUACAACUUUAUUUUUUUUUUAUAAAAAAAAUAAUAUAUAUUUUUUAGUAUAUAUGGUCUUGAAUGUAAUUGUUACACUUGCUAGUACUUGGACACCCUUGAGUGAAAGUGUCUAAUUGGACACCUUUCGAAAAAUAAUAUCAUAUAUAUAUAAGUACAACGAUACACAAAGUGAUUAUAACAUAUUUUGGAUAGCCUAGUAAUAUUUAGAUGGUUUGAAAGAAUCUCAAGUGUUCGAAUCUCACUAGGGUAAAAAUGACGGAGGGUAAAUUGAGAGUGAAUUGACGAGGACGAGUCACGUAAAGGGACCGAAAAGCUUCUAAUCUCUAAAGAAGGGGUGUGCUUUACAUCUUAAAUGAAUCCCAUUUUGUACUUUCUCCGUUUAAAAAAGAAUGAUUUCUUUUUCUUUUUAGUAUGUUUAAAAAAGAAUGACUUUUUUUUAUAACAUUUUAAAAUCGGUUUUUCACGUGGCAUGUUUAAGGCCAAAAUAUCAAAGGACAAUUUAAUACAUUUAAGCUAACUUUAAUUUAGAACCACAAGAUACAAAAGUCUUAUACUAAACUCCGUAUCAAAUUAAAUCCGAUUAUUUUUUAUAAAAAGAAGCGAGUAAUACAACAAAAAAUUGAAGAGCUUUAUAAAAUAUAGUAAAAAUUCACAUGGUACUUAUGUUUAUUAGGCUUGAUAAUUACUUGUGAUUUUAACUUAAGUUUAUAUCUUUAUUAAAAUGAGCUUCCAAUAAUUUCUUUUUAUGCGUAAAAGCUUGAAUUUAAAAUUUUAAAUCAUUCUUAAUUAAAUUAUAUAGCUCGAACUCGAAAUUUCUGAUUAACGUCCCGAAGCAUUCUUGAUCAGCUCAAGACUCCCAUGUUGCUACUCCGAAUCAUGCGCUGCUUUUAACACCCUUUUCCCUUUUCUCUCUCUUCUUUCCCAUUGUUUCUAAUUUUCCAUCCAACUUUUUUUUUUUUUGAUAAAACCAAGAAAAUUGGUACAGCCUAUUUUGCUGUUUAUGAAGGGAAAAAAGGUUGAUUUUUUUUUAACAAUGCAGAAGGGAUAAAAACCAAUCAGUUUGGGCAAAUAUGGUUAAGCAGAUUUAGGCAUUGCUUCUGUAUAAAGUUAUAGAGAUAUAUAUUUUAAUUAUAAAUGUCUGAUUUGGUUGCUCGGACGGGUCGGCAUCAACAGCGGUAUGAAGAAGGUUAUCGACUCAUUGCUGGGUACUUCUCUUUUUCUGUUCUUUAUGUGUAAUGUUUCUGUUUUGUUUGGAUUUAUUUUGGAUUUUGCUCAUUUGGGUUUUGUUUGGUUUUUGGGAAUUUUUCUGUUGAAUGUGGGCAUUUUGUACAUUGGUGUUGAUAAUUGAUGAAGAAGGGUUCUUAAGGAACAAGAUGGAUUGCAGUUCCUUUUAGUUUAGUGUUUCCUUUGAUUGCGUUUGUUUAAGGGUUGGGUUUGUGCAGUUUGAUUUUAAGAAAAGGGGGCAAUUUUUCAGCUUUCUAUGGACUAAUAAAGUUUAGUAUCUUCGAAAAGUUGAAGUCUUUUCGCACCCAAGGGGGUGGUCUAAGGGUCACUGAAGUAGGUUGUGAACCAUUUGGUUCAGGUCCAAAUCCCAAUAGAGAUAUCUAUCUGUCCUAGCUUUGGUUGAUUGACAGAGUUGCUUGUUGCGGGUGGGAGGUGGCAUGUAUCCCGUGGGAUUAGUUGAGGUGUGUGAAAGCCCCCGGACAACGAUUAUCAAAAGAAAAAGUUGAAGUCUUUUCGCACCCAAGGGCGUGGCCUAGUGGUCACUGAAGUGCGUUGAGAACCAUGAAGUUCAGGUCCAAAUCUCAACCGAGAUUGUCAUCUGUCCUAGCUUCGGUGGACAGACAGAGCUACCAGAUACUUGUUGGUGGUGGGAGGUGGCAGGUUUCGUGUGGAAUAAGUCGAGGUGUGCGAAAGCUGGCCCCGACACCAGUGUUAUCAAAAAGAAAAGUUGGAGUCUUUUAUGAAGAGUAAUGCCCAAGAACUGUUGGGACAUGUGGGAAUAGGCUGGCAUUGUUCUCUUCAAGUUGCUUAUUUAAAGAUAAGUAAAAUUUGAGGAGGUAAAAGCAGAAUAAUGACUCUUGGAAAGUUGGAGUAGGAAUUGGGUGACCCUGUCUAUUUAUGUUUUCUCAGUUCCACAUAAUUUUAUAAUGAGCAUAAGAUGAAAUUAGGAGGCAUACUGUCAUCAUUUAAGCAUAAAACAAAUCAAAAUUGGGGUUAUGUGGUUGAAAUUACCUCUGAAUCCCACUAUAUCAUCUUAUGAAUUCUUUCGCUGAUUCAGUCAGAAGGACUAUCCUUAUCCUUCUCAUCAUACUUAUUAUCUCCAAGUUUCCAUUCUUAUUCUGUUUAAUAUCUCCUUCAAAGUAGAGUCUUAACUCAUAAGCCAUGACAUAAAACAUAAAUGAAGUUCAAAAAACAUGUAGUGGAACUUUCUUUAUCCAUCAGACGAAUGGAAAGAUAUGAGAGCUACGAGGGCUCGAGCUACUUGACAGCAAAUAAUAUUCAUCCUAUCACCAUUAAAAACUAUUAGUAUGACUUCACCAAAUAGCCAUGGGAUGGGAUUAUUUUUUAGCUGAAAAAAUGUGAGGAGGAAAAAGACUGAUGGAAGGAUUGCUUCCCUUUCUUAGUUGACGGGCAUCACACCUUGUUAGCUCUAGGGUUUGGCUUAGUUCUGAGCUAUUCAGGCUGCAACUUAGCGUGGUGACAUUGACUGGGGCUUCAAUGUUUUAUAUUGUUAAGAAUUGUUGGUUUUCGAGUUAGAAAUUGUAGGUCGACUCUUUUAAGAGUGUGCUAUGCACUGAAUACUUGAUUUGAUCUUUGGAAAGUUAUAGAAAAGCAACUACACAAAGUAGAAAAAUUAGGUACAGAAGAUAAAUCCUUCCGUGUCUAGAAAAUAUUGGAAUAUGAUUCUCAUAAAAAAAUGCUCUUAGAACAGAAGUAGUAUGUGGAUUUUUAUGGAGAAAAGAUAAUCUUUUGGCUUCUAAAAAGUGAAGUAAGCUCAAUUUUCAAAUUUUUGCUCUUCUAAUUAAAUACUAAGCAUGUCAUUUGAAGUUGACAUACAAGUUCACUUUGUGGCUGUCUUUUUUUCAUAAUUGAGGUGGUAGAUCUGACUUUUUGACUUUGGGGUCUCUUUUCCACAAGUACACGACAUCUUUAUAUGAGUUUUAGACCCCUGAUAAUCGUUAUGUUGUUUAACGUCUUCCAUUUAUCAAAGAUAUUUUGCUUUUUCAAAAUCUGAAAACAGUCGGCAACUACUGCAUUAACUUCCUGGGUUUGCAUUUGAAAUCAGAAUAAUAUUGCCUUAGGACCUGUAUAUUCUGAAUCAUAACGAGAGUUGUCACAGGUGUAUACCGUUCAGGUUCAGAGAUAUGGAACAGAAUGGUGAUGACACAUCUGAAAAGAUAGUUGAAGUACUGAUGAUAAACUCAACGAGCGGGCCUGGUCUUCUGUUUCCAAAGGUGAGAACUGUUCUUUUGGAUUUCAAGCAAUAUGCUAGGGUAGUUGAAAUGACUGAAGUGUUUUAUUGGACCAGCCUUAAGUUAACUUAUGUGACUUUAUCUUCUGAUGGUUCUAGUGGUUGUGUCCUCUUUACCACUUGGUAUUUCAACCUCAUAAUUAAAGAGAUUUGCUAACUUUGUUCCACCUCGCUGUCAAAUUGAACCUUACCAAGUUAAACAACUAGAAAGAUACCAAGUUUGGCAUUUGCAGUAAGUUCUCCUUUUCUAUAUUUUCUGGGCAUCACACAUGACUUGAUAGGCUUCUUGUUCUUUUCUUUAAUUGUUAUUUUUUUUGUUUAUUAGUAGCACCGUGAUAUUGGGGAAUAAGAUCUUAGUUAAUUCUUUUUGUUCAUGUUUAUUUUGCCUUUAGUUGACAAGAUGUCUGUUAAUUGACAUUUCUAUCUUUUGUAUAUACAGGGAGGGUGGGAAAAUGAUGAAACAGUUAAAGAGGCAGCUGUUCGUGAAGCCAUAGAGGAGGCUGGAGUUCGUGGGGAUAUAGUGGUGAGAUCAUUGUAACCUUUCUUCAUUUAUUCUGUAGUAUUUGGACACGCAAAUAUGUUAUUCCAUGUUGCAUGGAGGUUCGUCAUGCUUUAGUGGAGGAAAGAUCACUCUUUAGUGAUGUAUUUGCAUGUCAAAUGGACCACAAUAGUAACAUUUUCUCUGCCUUUGAGCUUUGGAUGUGCUCGUGUCUUUUUAUUACUAUAUCAUCUUUAAUUCUCUCUGUGCAGAAUGUUCUUUUAUUAUUAGUGGAGUGAAUUUUUUUACAAGAAAGCAUCAUAUGAUAUGAUGAAGCUUCAAUAUGUUUUUUUUAAUGAAGUAGGAGGUAUUACAAAAUACAUCAAGAAGAUGCAAAAUUUAGCACUGGACAGUGUCUAAAUGUGAUGCAACAAUAACACUUACAAAAGCUGAACUUCUGUUGGAGCAUUCUAGGAAAAAUAUGCUUGUUUUAGUUUAGACUUUAGAUUGUCUUGGUGAAAAACUUCAAGCAAUCCUCUCUUGAUUAACAUAACGUUUUAUCUUAAAAUAAGUAUCUUGUGUAAAUAACUUGUAGGUUGUAGCGUCUUUAGAAGUGAUAUCAUUCCCUUUUCUUUUGUUAUCAUGUAUGUAUUGAUUUUAUACCUCUUCUUUUUCAGCAUUUUUUGGGAUACUACCCCUUUAAAAGCAAAACACUUCAGGACGAGUUCAGUCCAGAAGGUCUGUGUAGAGCUGCCAUGUUCGCUUUGUUUGUUAAGGAAGAGCUUGACUGUUGGCCAGAACAGAGCCGCCGAAAAAGAAGUUGGCUGACAAUUCCUGAGGCAAUUGAAUGUUGCAGGCACCCAUGGAUGAGAAAGGUCCUUGAAGAAGGAUUUUCGAAGUGGCAUGAGGAUGGUAUGGUAAGCACCAUUAACAACAACGAUGACUAGUUUUUCUCUUUAGUCCUCCCUUACCAAAGACUGAAGUUUUUUUAAAACUUUAACGGGUAGAAACAACUAUGAAGUUGGAUCUUAUGUCAAACUAUAAAUCUUCCAAAAAAAGUGACAUGGUCACCAUGUUUUGAUAACUUAUUAUCUGGUUCUUUGCUUUUCAUGAGACUGAAGGUGAAUUUGAAAGAAAAGAAACAAGAAAAUUAUCUCCAUCUUCAUCAUUUUUUUUCUAUUGCUAAGCUACAUUUUCAGUUAUACAACUAGUGGGACUAACCAAAUUAGUUAGAUUACCAGAUGAUGCAUUUCUCUGCAACUGUGAUUUCAUUAUAAUGACAUGCGCAUUAUAGCCCCUCUUCCCGGAACUGUGCAUGAACGCAUAAUGCUUUGUGCAUUGGACAUGCUUAUUAUGGACAUACUACGCGAUAUAGUGUCCAUAAUCUGUUGCGGGGAAGGCAAAGAAACUUGUUAAACAGGCCUCACCAUGUGUAUGCUUAACAACUGAAAGUUGUGUGAUGAAUGCCAUUAAACAACACUUAGUUCUUUUUAGUUGUUGCUAAUUAUCUUUAUAGCCAAAAGUGAAAUUUGUACCAAAUGCAUUGCCAUAAUUAUACAUUCAGUCUGCACUUGGAGGAUAUAGUCUAGUAGUCAAUAAUGUGGACAGAGUUUCUCGAUAACUAUGCUGCUCGGAGAUUUCUUCUAGCCUUAUUGAUUAGAGUUAUCUGGUAACUGUGCUGAUGGGAGGUAGUGAGAGUGGGUACCUCGUGGAAUUUAGUGGACACGUGUAGGGGUGUGAAAAAAUCGAACCGACUGAUAAAUCGAAUCGAAAAAAAUGUUAUUGGGUUAUUGGGUUUUCAAUGGGUUUAUAAAUUUUUUUAUUGGGUUAUGGGUUCGGUAUCGGUUUUUACUAUUGGGUUAUUGGGUAAAUCAAUAAAUCAAUAAGACAGUUAUAAUUUAUUAUUUUACCCUUCCUAAUUUUUAAAUAUUCCUCCCUUCGUUUAAAAAAGAAUGAUCAUAUUUCCUUUUUAGUCUGUUUCAAAAAGAAUGACUCACUUUCAUUUUUGGCAACACUUUAACUUUAAUUUUCCACGUGACAUGCUUAAGAUCAGAAGAUUAAAGGACAUUUUGGUACAUUUGACAUAACUUUAAUUUAGAACCACAAGAUUAAUAAGUCCUCUUUCUUUUCUUAAACUCUGUUCCAAGUCAAACUAGGUCAUCCUUGUUGAAACGGAGGGAGUAAUAAUUAAUAUAUAAUUACACUAUAACUAUAUCACAUUAUUAGUACUCUACCGACUUCACACUAGGAAACUUUAUAUUAGUUUUUACUAUAUACCUAAAGAUUAAAGAAUUGUAGCUAUUUUGAUUUUAUUUUUAGUUUUAGUCUUGUUGGACUAGUUUAUUUUAGUUCAUUGUGCUAUGUUUUCGUGAUAACAUGUAAUUAUAGUCUUCGCACUAUAUUUUCUCUUAUUGAUGCAAUUUCUCAUUAUUUUUUUUGUUUCAUCAUAUCAAAGCAUUUAGAGAAGUGAGAAGACAUAAUAUUUUACAGAUAUUCUUUUAUUAGGUAAAUCGAAAACCUGACUGUUGAUGAUCAAGAAUUGAUAAAUUGAAAAUCGAUAAAGAAUAUUUUAUCGAUUUGUUAUAUUGAGUUAGCAUAUUUUUUAAAAAUAGAAAAUCGAUAAAUUAAAUCGAUAGUACAUAAAAUUAAAUCGAACCAAUCAGUGUACACCCUUAGACACAUAUACAAGUUGACUCCGACAUCACGAUAUUAUUUUGAAGCUUAUGCAUUUAUAUGAUUUUAAAUUAUUUGAAUUUCUCUUCUUCCUUUGCCAGAAAGAAAUAUAAAAGUUUGAUUAGAAUUGCUUUCUAACUUUAAAAACUUUUGGUCAAUUUUAGAAAUUAGUCAAUCUUUUUUAUUGUUGGUCCAUUGUUUGUUACAUACAAUGUACUACUUAUUAUUCUCUCCGUCCAAAAUUAGUUAUAUUUCAAUUCUCGAGAGUCAAAUUAUAAUAACUUUAAAAAUAACUUUUUUCCGUCAAAUUGACAUGAGUACAAUUACAACUAUAUUAUACUUUUAGUAUAAUUUUUAAAUAUUUAGAUUUUAAUUAUAAAUUAUUUAAUUUAUUUAAUCGAAUUUAACUUUAAAGAUUCUCGACUCUUACUUGGGAAUGUUCGAAUUAAAGGACUUCAUACAUUUUUCGAGUGAUUUUAGAAUUUAUCCCAAAAAAAGGAAGAAAAAGAAGAGAUUCCUACUUUACUUCUUACGUUAAAGUUUUAUACUUUUUUCUCGACAAUUCGAGAUGUAUAAAAGUUGAUCCAAUAUUUAGAUAUGAUAACUUAUAAGUUAUAAUAUUUUAAAAUAAUAAGUUUAUAUAUGAUAUUUAUUAAAAUUUAAAUAAUUAAUCGAAAACAAUGAAUUUAGUUGAAUUCUUGAUUCAAAAAUUGCAUAAUUUUUGUUAUAUUGCUAAUAAUUUGAUUAAUGUAUCCUGCAAAUGCAUUAAUGAAAAUCACGAAGCAAAAAGGUUAUUGGCUAAUGAUAAAUAUCUUUCUAAUUCUAAUAAUAAUUUAAUUAAUUAACGUAUCUUGGGGGAAAAAAAGUUGUUUUUUCUAAUUAUUAAUAUUAAAUAAUUUAUUAAAUUACUUGUGUUGGAAAGUACAAAAUAAUAUUAGCAUCUACUAUAUCUCCCUAGUCAGGCGGCGCUGGAAAAGGAAAUACAAAUAUAGUAAUAGAACAUUUGUCAAUAUUGACUAAGUAGCCCAUAUAGUUUAGUUAAUUAUAAGUGGUCCACUACAUUUCUCUCAUUUUAUUUUUUAAAUCGAUCCUUUGUUUGAUAUUUACGUUAAAGUUCGACUAUUUCAGAUUUACAUUGUUUAGGGUUCGAUUCGGGGGGAAAGUGUUUCCUACCAAGAAUGUUUCACAUCAAAGCUUAAAUCUAAGACUUUUGAUUAUAGAAAAAUCAGACUCAUCUAUUGUAUCUCUCUCUCUUUAAUAAGAAAUGGUCAACUUUAUCUAUAUACUAUAUGAAAUUAAGUAAUAUUAUCCUCCGCAAGUUACUGUCGAAUAUUACUUUUAUUCGUUUUGGUCCUUGACCUUUAAUGAUAUUUCAGUUUGAAGGUGAUUUUAUAUUGUAACAAAAAAUUGAAAGGAAAUAUUUGAAUCGAAGAAUUUAAACAUGUGCGAAUCUACCUCUUGUAAAUAAUGAAAAUCAAUAUGAUAUGAAUAGGUAGGAUGAAAUAUAACGAAUGAUAAAAUUGAAUAAUUUUUUUUUGCUAAGAAGUAACCAAAUAGUGCAAUACUUAGUUUUUAAGUUGUGUUUGAAAAUUGGCAUUUUUUUGUAACAAGGGUGUUUACAUCUAGGCAUGUAGGGUAAAAGCUUUUGGUCAACAUAACCAAAUUUAUGUCUAUUUUGAGAAACAUUUAUAUUGACAAUUAUUAAAGCCAACUAAUUAUCAUAUGUUUGACUAUGAUGCUUUAAUCAUUACUAUUUUCAUUUAUGGAAUUUUCAUCAAACUUUUCUUCUUUGUUGUUUUCUAUAUUCCAAAGUUCCCAACAACUUUUAUUUAGUACUCAUCCACAUCCACGAUUACGAUUAGUUCAAAAUAUUAUUGUAAUUUUUGUAACGAAUUAUAUAACGGAAAAGAGAUUAAUCUGAUUCAUGCAUGUAUAGAAAAUGUGUGUGGAGGCAUUAAUGAGAAUGUUUCAAAGUUUGACUAUAACGAGUUGUAAGAAAGGUGAAGAUAGUCCAGAGAAGAUCAAAAGAAAUAAUUAAACAUGAUAUAAUACAUCUUCAAUUUUUUUGAAAAUAUGAGUCAUAUUAACUCUAGUUAAGAAAAUUUUGAAGAUCGAGAAUCGGGAUAGAUUGUAGUGCUUAUACGGGGGAGAAACGGGGUUUUAUUCUCUUCUUCUCCUAAUUUAGUAAUCUUGCAUUUCCAAACAUAUCCAUAUGCGACUUUCAUCUGAUCAAACUAUUUUCUCCAAAAUAAAAAUAAUCGCCAAAUACAUGAACCUAUUUAAGAUAAAAAAAAUAACAAUUACAUUAAAUUAUAUUCAAAACCAUUAAUAUUUCACAAAAUCAAGGUGUUCAAUUUUCUUCUCCAAAUCUAUCCUUGACAUAUUCCUAAUUCAAUAUAGUUUUUUAAUGUUGUAUAUAACAAGCUAGAUAAAUAAACAAAUCAUAAUUAAAGGAUAUUAAUUAGUCAAAACCCACUACUUCAACUAAAGGGACUCAAGUGAAAACAAAAAAACUUUGGGUGUGUUACAUGUAACUUCCAAAACUUUAUAAGCAGAAUCUGAAAUUAGAUUGUUUUAUUAUGUAAGUGCGCUAAAUAAUUUAGGAAUAUUAUAAUAUACCUCUCACUUUUCCUUAUUUGUCAUUUUAAUAUAUAAUAAAAAAAAAAUUAAUUAUUUUUUCUUAUUUAUAUUUAAAAAUAUUAAUCACUUUUUUCUCUAAAAUCUAAAUUAUAUAUACAUCAAUCAAUACAAAUAUCCAUAUUAGAACGAUAGAUAAAAUUUAAAAUAAACAAAUAAAAAUAAUCGGAUCGAAUAAAUAUUGAUAUAUAUAUAUAUAUAUCUCGGUGGCUUAGAAAAUGACGUGGGGGCUAGCGUAGUUUGGAAUGAUCUAAACGUCACGUUUGUCAUCUUCCUCUCUCUUUCCCUCGUUGUUCGUGGUCAUAAAUAUAUAAUAUUAAGUAAAAUUAUACAAAAAUUAAUUCUGGGUUCGUUGAAUUUUGUGUAAAAAAUGAGUCUUUAUACAGAAAAUUCGACUUGAAAUUGUUUACUGACCAGUCAUUGAACCACUCUAAGCUUUGGUUUAUUUAGUUUUUAUACGAAGUGGGGUUGUAGAAAAUUCAAUUUUCUUGAGUUUUUUAUUUUAUUUUAUUAAUUUUAAGCUUUGGGUAUUAGAUAUUAACUCAUUUUGAUGAAGGGGUAGUUGGGUUUUGAUAAAGUUUUGACCUUUUUGUUGUUUGAAGUGAGGGUUUAUGCACAGCUGUUUUUUUUCUUUUUGGGGUUUUCUUGAUUUUAAUGGUGUAUGUGUUAAAGUUUUAAGCGGUUGCUUUUGGAAGUUUUUGUAUUUAGUCAACUGUUUGAAAGGGGUUUGUAGUUUGAUUUUGUUAUUGUAGAGUUUUUGAGUGUAUGAACUGAGGUUGUGGAUUGUUGAUGAUGAUGUGAAGAUUGGUAGAAAAGGCUAUAAGAGUGGUAAUUUUGGGAUGCCAAGUUUCAUUUCUCAGAUUCCAGUUUCAAAAAAUCACAUGUAUAUCUCUUAACAUACUUUCACUUUUUUUGAAUUUCUGUAAAGUUUAGUUUGCUCUUUGCAAGUGUUGGAUUUGUUUCAGAUGGGGAUUACUGUUUAUUCUUAUGUUUAUGUUGAAGGAUUCGAGUUUUGAGAUUGUUGUUAUAGGGACUAGGCUAUAUAUCUUUCUGUUUGUUUAUGUAAAUGAAAAAUAGAAGUCUCUUAUAGUUUGAUUGUAACUUGGAGAGGUGACUUUUAAUGAGUUUUAGGGUAGGAAUGAAAAAGGAGAGCUGAACACUCUUUGUUUCAGGAUCGGAUAGUUCCUGGUAGCGGUGGAGGUAGGAUUUUCGUUAAGGGGGUUCAGAAAUUAUUUUAACUUUUUAUAUAUCAUGUGUUUUCCGGCGAAGGGGAUUCAAAUGAACCCUCUUCUGCCCCUCUAAGCUUGCCACUGGUUGUCCAGAUCACUGUUUAGGUAAAUCAAGUAUUCCUAUUAAUACUCCGCUAGUCCUUAGAAACGCGUUUAAUUUAAUAAGAAGAGGAAAGAAUGUUCAACCACUUUGUCGUCAAGUUGUUUCUCAGAGUUCCUCCUGAAUAUUUACAGUGCAACGUGUUAGUAUAAAUCUAGAAUUAUUAUAUGUCAUGGUUGAUAUGCUUAUAUGAAGGUGACAUCUCCAAUUAUUAAUUCCUGUUUAACAGUAUUUUUGGGCUGUAAUUUUGGAUUUCAGGGGCACAGAAGGGAACAAUACAAAUACUUCUCGAAUGUCUGAAUUUGGGGUGCUUGAGCAAUAUCUUGGAUUCCGUAUUGGAGAUGGUGUUAAUGUUAAUCGAAGUAUGUAUUUUUAAGACUAGUCCUGAAUGUUCUUGGGCUGCCUAUCUUUCCUCUCACUCAUCUGAUAAAAGAAUCUUCUUAUGUUUGAGCGUUCUUUAAAUUACAGCUUUACAGUAGGCACCAAGUGUGUUUUGUCGUUAGUGUUUCUAGUGAGCGUUUGGUCACCGAUGAUCUCAUCAACAAGUUUUACUUUCUAUGCAAAUUUGGUAGUUGAGACUCCGAAAAGUUGAAAUGAGCUGAAGAGACUGAUCAUGGCGUAGGACUUCUCUUUGCUUUUCUAGCCAGUCAGGUCUAAAUGUAGUAAGAGAAGUGGGAAUUUGAACUUAACUUAGUUCCAACUGUAAGUGAGAGUUCAAGAUUAUAUAGGGAUAUGUGGACAUGAGGGUCCAACAUUGGGUAAUUUAACAUUGCGGGAAUUGCAUCAUACUAUUUAAAGAGCAACUGACCUUGGGCAUAACUCUACCCAAAAAACUAGUUCAUUCGGUGAGAGUUGCUGAAGACCAUAUAAAGAAGGUAAAAUUAAUACCCUUGACCUAUGUGGUACCGUAACGUAUGACUCCUCUUUAUAGAUAAUAUUUGAAAAAGUAAUAUUCUUAUGUGGAUAUCUAUAGGUUUGGAAGAUAUAUUCGACACAUAGUAUAUGAAGUAACCUCUAUAUAGAUAUAUUCGACACAUAGUAUAUGAAGUAACCUCUAUAUAGAUAAUAUAAGAAAAAUAAUAUUCCCAUUUAUGUUAUACGCACAUAGUAUAUGUAGUAACCUCUUUGUAGAUGAUCUACCAAAAAGUAACAUUCCUGUGUAGAUAUCUAUAGUUUGGAAAAUAUAUUCGAGUGCAUAGUAUUUGAAGUAAAUAAUGUUUUGUGGUGUUGAGAUAGCUAAUUUGGAUUAAGAAGACUAAGUUCAUUGUUCCAAAUAUUUGAUAUAUCUUGAACUGGGUCUUCCUAUUUGGACAAUGUUAAAUAAGAGAUAAAUUAGUAUUAUUCCAGGAAGGUUGGAUUUGGCACCAACAAACAAAUGGGAAUUGUUUUUUGUCCUAAUAUGGGUGCAAGACAUGUCACCUUUUUACAUAAAAAAGUAGCAGUGUCAAGAAAAAGUUCUGAUUGCAUUAAAUUUGGGUUUAGCUCUAAAUGCACUGUUAAAAAAUUAGGUCAAAAGCACGGACUUCAUAAGUUAUGUACCUGAUGGUCAUUUGCACAAUUUGCUCUUAUUUCCUGAUCUAUCUAUAUUUAAUACAGUCGCCACCAUCUGGUUUUGUGUUUGUCGUUUUCGGAUUACAAUGUAAUGUAAAGAUGGUACUCCCUCCGUUUCAAUUUGUUUGUCUUAUGUUCUUUUAUAACCCAUUUAAAAAAGAACGCCUCCUUUUUGACAACUCUUAUAUUUCCACUUCACAUGACAUGUUUAAGACCACAAGAUUAAAAGACAUUUUGGUACAUUCAACAUAUGAGUUCAAACCACAAGAUUCAAGUCCUCUUUACUUCUUAAACUUUGUGCCACGUCGAAACCAGGCAAACAAAUUAAAACAAAGGGAGUACCUAUCAAACAUAAUGUGAAAAUAUUGCAAACAAUAGCCAAAAAAUGUCGGAGAGCAUGGAGGACAAGGAUAAUUGGGGUUUUAUUCCUUUGUGCUCUUCAGACAAACUGCCCUGUCAAUGUAGCUUCCGGCGUGGAAGAACUAACUUAUGGUAUAAUAAACUGGAUUUGUGUUCUCCAGAUUCUCGAUAAUAUUGAACCUAAAUGUUUAGACUGAUGUUUGAAAGUGGUACGGAUCCCCCUUAUUAGAGAACUGUGGUUGCAAUGGUAUUCUUGAGCUUGAUGUCAACUGUAGUAGGAAUGCUAGAUUUUACUGACAAGCACUUGUGUUUCUUUUCUAGUGUUCAGUUAUAUGUGAACCACAAUUGUCCAGGAACUUGUCUCACUUAUGUGAAGGCUGACCAUUACCUGUGUAGUAUGAUUGAUGAAUAUAUCUUUUGUUGGUUUAGGUCCCCUAUUUAAUUCUACAUCUGCAGCUAAUCCAGCAGUGGGAUUUGACGUCUCUGGGACCAUCAAUAGGGUAAUUACGGCAUUUAAUCUCUCUACAUUUCUUCCUAAAGAGAAGUAGAAACUGUUAAUCUGAUAUUGCCAGAGAUUCCACAGACUGAGGGCAAGGCUUUAAGCUUAUUUUGAUAUAUUUUUUUUCCUAUUGAGCUUGCAGAAUUUAGCUCCUUCAAAUACAAGUUUGUCUACUGCUGCUCCAGGAUCUCAUGUAAUACAAUUGCAAUCAAACUUAGUUCCUGCAGCUGGCACUCAUCCUGAGAAUUGGGGCGAGUCCAACAUGGCAGAUUCUGGUUCUCGCACUGAUACUUCAACUGACAUGGAUGGAGAUGAUAGAAAUCAAAGGGUAAUUUACUCUGCUUGUCUCAGUUUCAUCGCCUAGCCUCUCUUAGUCCAUUUCUCUUUGGUUUGUAAAGACCUGCAAUGUCUUGGAACUUAUCUUGAUUUGAGUAAGAAUAAAAUUUAACCGAAGCAAAGAGUCAAGGGGCCAUCUAGGCAAACCAACAAAUAUCGACUGGGGUUUUGGUUGUUGUUAUUGCACUUGGCCACCUUCAUAAAGUGAAAUGUUAAUUUUGAGUCAUUUUGUUCUAUUUGGGUCUACGCUGAUCAGACUUGGGUUCGGGCAUCCGACUUGGUUGCUGCCUAUGGAAAAUUCAGAUUCUUUAUCACAUAAAUUUUAGGAUUCAAGGGUAUGUAUCCGAGUACUGAUACAGGUGCUGGGAUAUGACCAAUAACUGUUUAUUAUGAUAUAUAAAGUUAUAUUUCAAAUUUUCAAUUAGUUGAAGUUAUUGAACAUAAAUUAAUAGAAGUUCAUUCCUUAUAAACACCAAUAUUUUGUUCUUUUUUCACGCAAUAGAAAAGGGUUCUCAUACUUGACAUUUUCUGAGACUGACCACGUUCACAUACUUUAUCUAUAUUUAUGACAUAAAACCAAAAAUCAAACUAAAUACCAGAUCAAUUUAUACUUCUCGGUCUAGAAUGUGGCAAAUACCCAAGAUAAGUUGACCCAGUCUGCUAUAGAUCUCACACCCACACCUAUGUCGUGUCUACUUGGGUACGGUGGAGAUUUUGAAGAGUGCUUGCAACAUAGAUUUUGUCACUUGUAUGUCCGUGUAAGAAAGAGAAUGAAAUUUGGAGAAUCUCUGGUUAUCGAGAACUCUAAUUUUCCUUGAAUGAUUAGCACUAUUCCUUUCUCAUCUUAUAUGAUUCUUUUCUGUUUGGGAUGUCUCAAAAUGUUUUGACAUAUUCCAUCUCUGCAACUUUUACAUCUGUCAAGAAUCCAAAUUGUUUAAGGUAAUCAAAUUUCAAACUUCAAUCUUAUGUUUUAUUUGUUAGAUGAACUUUUCAAUCAUUAUUACUUGAAUUCUGCGACCCGUAAAAUUCAAAAUAAAUGGAAUGGAGUGUGUAUUAUUGAAUUAUUAAUCCAAAAUAUAAGACUAUUAUUUGUAUUGUAGAGAAAUGGAUAAGUGGAAUAGAUACAGAGGAUUCAUGUUAACCAAUCCCAAACUAGCUGUUAUUGAGCAAUAAUUGGUUAAUUGUCUAGGUUUCAUCACUUCAAUUUCAUACUUGAGUUUUUGGUUCACAAAUAUGUAUUUUUAUUGAACUGAACAGUUUGUACAUGCAACAUACACUUUCUCCUUAAGAAACAAGGGGAUUUUUGUAUUUUUUGUGGAUCUUUUAGUUUCAGUGAUUGUUAAUGCAGACUUUUAGUUUCGAACUUCCAAUAAUUGUUAUUGCAUGCCUAAAAAUUAAGCGGAAACUUCUUUAUCAUAAUCUGGUUUGUGUUCUUACAUUUCAGUCAUGUAUGAAAAUUCUUUUCCAUUAUGCAGAUUGAGACGGGUCAAUCCAGGGCUAUUGCAGCUUCUGAUUCCAGUGACAAAUCAAAAGAAAAAGUCUUGGAUCAGAAGGUUCAUUUCUCACUAUUUAGUCUUAGAAGAGGAGAACUCAUGUUCCUUUCUUAUUUUCGUUUUGCUUAUCAUCACUUCUUGCAGACAUUGCGGAGACUUGCCCAAAAUCGUGAAGCUGCUAGAAAAAGUAGACUGAGGAAAAAAGUAAACCUUUCUUCUCUCAUUCUCCACACUAGUUUGUCAUUUUAGUAUAUUAGGGAUGCUGAAGAGAAUAUGUCAGCUGAUUAUUUCUCACUCGUCUUUAAAUGACUAAUUCCGUACUUGCUUAUGCUGCAGGCAUAUGUACAACAGCUGGAGAAUAGCCGGUUGAAGCUAUCACAGUUGGAGCAGGACCUUCAGCGAGCACGUCAACAGGUAUUUGCUUCUUCCUUUCAUGUGCUUUCGGGAGGACAACUUGAGGAGGUUCCACAAUCUUCUCUUAUUUUGUUUUUUUGUGCAACUGAAGGGGAAGUACAUCUCAAACAUGGCAGAUCAAUCAAAUGGAGCGGGCGCCAGUGGUAUGCCCUUCUCUUGUAGCUCCCUUUUUUCAUUUCAACAAACAAGAAAAUUGAUGGGCUUCUUCUAGAUCUGUUGAGGAAGUAUCACUUCUUGAUGCUAAAUUGAGCUAGGAGUGGGUUGUUAUUUCAUGUUUCUUGCAUUUGAAUCUGUUACCAUCUGUUGUCGUUAGUGUUUCAGUUGCCACAUUAUUUCUUUUUUAUUAUUGUUCAUCUUCUGGAAGUCAUGUAUUGCUUUCCAUAUUAAUUAACCUGUUUUCUCCACUGCCAUAUCUCCUUUACCCCAGCCACUUUGAUUUGCUGCACUUGAGCCGAAGAUCUUUCUAAAAUAGUAUCUCUAGCUCUACGAGGUAGGGGUAAGGUCUGCACAUUCUAUUUCCCUCCCCAGAACCCACUUUUGGGAUUACUCCCAGCAGGACAGACUACACUUGAUGUAAUAAAGACUUGUUCUAGGAGAGCAAAACUGGGUAUGUUGUUGCAACUUCCGUAGUUUGACAAUACUCUUUAUUGUAUCAGCUAUGAUAUCUUUAAGAUCAUCUAGAUGUGCCUCUCAUAGGUGACUAUGACAGGAUUUGGGUAGUUCUAGGAAAUUUUGGGUGGAAUUUGAAUGGUUGGUUUCAUUAGACAGAUAAGCAUCCACCAUAUUGCAGUCGAAACAGAUAUUUAUACAUGAUGGCUAUCUCUAUCUUAAAAUCUUCCUAUAUGCACUUUAUGCACCUUUCAGUUUUUCCAGGAAUAGUUUGUCUCACAUAUUUUGUGUGUCGCAUGGUCUCUGUUUAGGUAGCAAAUAAGACGGAAAUAAUGUGUGUUUUUAAUUGAAGGAGAUUGUUAGAACUUCAGUUUUCUUGAGUUUCCCUGAUUAAGUGGAUUCAAUUAAUGAGAUAACUUGUGAAAUCCAUCUGCGUGUCAAUACACUGUGGAUGGCAUUUAAUUCAAUAUUGAGGAACAAAGUAAACUGCAACUUUCAAUUGGUACUUGGUUCAUGUUCGUAAGUCUCACACUUGUGAUGGUUGCUACGAUUAAGAUAAUGAAUGAAUCGGUUGCUGCUUUAUGCAUUCAGUUAAAUACACGACUUUUUUUGUAUUAGGCUGGCCAUUCUUAAUAGGAUAACGUUCAACCCCUAAUUUCUGAUUGCACUGAAAAAGUUGUUUUCUCGUGGUAAGAUAACCUUUCAGAUGCUGCUGUUCUGCAGGGACCUUAGCAUUUGAUGCAGAAUAUAGUCGAUGGUUAGAAGAACACAACAAACACAUCAAUGAAUUGAGAACCGCUGUCAAUUCACAUGCAAGUGACCCUGAACUGCGAAGUAUUGUGAAUAAUGUCACUGCACAUUACGAUGAGGUCUUUAGGGUGAAAGGAAAUGCAGCCAAGGCAGACGUAUUCCAUGUCUUGUCAGGGAUGUGGAAAACCCCUGCCGAGCGAUGUUUUAUGUGGAUUGGUGGCUUCCGCCCCUCGGAACUUCUUAAGGUGACCUCUUCUUGUUUUCAUGUGUUCAAUUUUGCAUCUGUUCUUGUAUAUUUCCAGUCUAGGCUUUUCCUGUAAAGGAUUAUAAAGAGCCGUUAUGCUGCUUGAUCAUGUAUGAAAAGGUCCUAUUAUUAGCAGGACUGAUAAGUUCUUAGUAGUGUGGAUUCAUUGAUUUAUGCCUGUGAAAAUUUACUUGCUAAAUAUUGGAUGGUUUCACUUUCCGAACGAAUGAGGUGCCGUGUAGUGUACAAUUGCAUUUUUAUGUCAUUAUCCUCUAUAACACCAUCACUGUAGUCUCGUGACCUUGGUUCUGUCAUUCUCCUUCAAAUGGCAUGGACUUACAUUUAUUGUACUGAAGCUUUUGAUUUUCUUCUUGUGUUCACUGGCAUAAUAGCGACUCUAAAGAAAACCUGAUGCCUAGAAGCAAAAACUUGGAUGAAAUUGUGUGAUUAUCUCUAUCCAUCCCGGAUGAGGUUUCCUGAGCUUCUCCAGCUUGGUGAUGUUAGCAGACUUCCAGUGGCAUCUGAUGUUAAAUAUGCUUUCACUCUGUCCGUUCACAGAUGUUUGUGCAGGAAUUAUAUCUGUGCUGUACAUUAUAUUUUCCUCUGUUCUUGUGUCAUUUGUUCACGCGUCAAUCAGAUGUUGACAAUUUAAGAACUUCAAGUUGCUUCUGUAGAUAACACCCUUCUGUGUAUGAGUUUCUUUAUAACCAAUUAGGGGCAUUAUUUCUUUAUAACUAUCUUAUCCGUAGGCUGAGAUUGUUCGACAUGUAAAGAGAAGGUGCGUGGAUGCGCCUGUAAGGGAGUGUGGGAAAUUCAUUGUUAACAAGGAGAGGGAGAGGUAGGCCGAGGAAGAACUGGGGAGGUGAUAAGACAAGACAUGAACUGCAGCUUAGUAGGUAGCGAGUACGUAAUGGAGUGUUGUCACGCUUUGUGUGUGAGAGGCAGGGCCUAGCCUCCUCUACGCUUCUCCUUAUUAGUAUUAUUAUUUAGUAAUCACGUAGUUUCCUUUACUUUAAUGUGUAUUGCUAUCUUUUGCUAUUCCUUUUCGUCAUUUGCUCUGUACCUUGCUAUUUUGUUGCUACCAUGCUUCAAAUUAUUUUCUUUUCUUUUGAGCCGAGGGUCUAUCAUAAACAACCUCUCUACCCACAAAGGUAGGGGUAAGGUCUGCGUACGUCCUACCCUCUCCUCUCCUGACUCCACUUGUGUGAUUACGCUGGGUAUGCUGUUGUCUCAUUUUUUGUGAAAUGAUUUCUUUGGUAAUGCAGCUUCUAGUCAAUCAGUUGGAGCCUCUGACCGAGCAACAGUUAGCUGGCAUUUACAACUUGCAGCAGUCAUCCCAUCAAGCAGAAGAUGCCCUUUCACAAGGUAUGGAGGCGUUGCAGCAAUCCUUGGCAGAGACAUUAGCUAACGGAUCUCCUGCUACUGAAGGGUCAUCAGGAGAUGUAGCUAAUUAUAUGGGUCAGAUGGCAAUGGCUAUGGGGAAAUUAGGGACUCUUGAAGGUUUUCUCCGUCAGGUAACUCUAUUUUUGCGGCUGCUUCCUUUUUUGUUUGUUUUAAUUGUUUACAAUAUAUAAGCUGCAAAUGCUCGUUCAGUUGUUUGAACAUGUGGAAGUCGGGGGCAAGCAAUUAUUGUUCUGGAGGUCUUUGUAACUGCAACCAGCAUGCAUUGCCCACAGAAUCUUCAGAAUGUCUUGUUUUUAUUGGUCUUUGGAAAAAAAAUGUCUGGAUACUUUGUCCUCUUUUAUGUCCUUUAAUGAGAUCAUAAAAUAACCGAAGGGUUAUGUUCUCCAACGUUCUUAAAUCAACAAUUGUCCUUCUGUCUCAUACUUGUAUCUCUCUUGUGAAUCAUAUGAUUCAAGACAGCCAGUCAAUGUUCAGAGAUUUCUGGUUUGUUAUAUUAGUUUUAUGUCGUCAGUGGAGGCAAAAUACGUGAAGCUAAACGUCGUUGCAUCUUUCUGGCUCUUUUAACAGGCGGACAACCUGCGUCAACAGACAUUGCAACAAAUGCAUCGCAUAUUGACAACCAGACAAUCAGCCCGUGCUCUUCUUGCAAUAAGUGAAUACUUCUCACGUCUUCGAGCUCUCAGCUCUCUUUGGCUUGCCAGACCACGAGAGCAAUAAGUAUGACAUGCAUUGCGAUAUUCUACUGAAACUCAGAUAUACUACUUCGAUACACUGGCCGGUAUAUGAGAUCCAGCAAAGUUACUCUUAUGUAUAAAGUGGUAUUGUAUGUGCUUGUGGAAGUGCAGAAUUUGUUUUCUUUCUCCUUAGGUUUAUAGAAUGCCAAAAUUUUACUUUGUGACUUAGGAACCAAUAAUGUACCUGUGUUUUUAGUUUUACAAGGAAAAAGUUUAGGGAUUUUUAAGAAGUGUAAUAGAUAUUUUUAGAAAGUUUUAUGCUUAAUCAAAUUAUAGCUUGUGACUACAAAAGUCUCUCUUCUGAUAUGUUGGAAAAUAUACAAGCAUAUUUCUGCAAGAAAUGUUAGAAUCUGUUGUUAUUUAUCUUUCCAUAAAAUCUAAUUACACCAACAAAACUUGUGAAAAAAUAAGGAUGAAUAUGUUGAUAUAUUUCUUUUUCUUCAUCUUUAUACUCCUGUUUUCUGAAUUAUAAAUGUCAUACUCUACUUUUCAAGGUCAAGUUGAAUUAUUUUGAAUAAAAAUAUGUAGAUUACUAGAUUGUUUAAAAUACUGAUAUCUCAAAUUGUCGAUGUAGUGAUGAAGAACGAUCACUUUAUUCAUAUAUUACAUUCAUCAAUAUGAUAUAUUAUCGAAAUAUACAUAUAAGUUCCAUUCAAACAAUGAAUUUUGUCCCACAUCAUCAUCAAGGAGAAAGCAGAGCAAAAGUUGUAGUACAAGUAAUGGGCUGAGCAGACUGGAAAACAUACUUACCUGGACGGGGUCAAUGGGCGAUCAAUAAGACCCAUGGCCUAGGCUUGUGACCUUCAUUGCACUUUGGAGGGGUGCCUGCCUAAGGUCGGCCCAAGUGGUCGAGCCUACGUCAUAAUUUGUUGCUGUGGGGGCCUGCGUUCGCGCGGCCCCUGCCCAAUACUAAGAUCUAAAUUUGUUUGGUCAUAUAUUAAGCACGGCUCUAUAAUUGGGCUCCAAAAUAUAUUAAAUUGUUAUAUUAUAUAUUAAGUGUGAAUAAAAAAAUAUAGAAAGAUAAAUUUAGUUUGAAUAUGUCAUAAUACAUUCAUAAAGAAAAAAAUUGGUUAAACAAAAUAAAAUGCUAAUAAGAAUUGCUCAUGUUAUAAAGUGAGUGAAAAUGUUAUGAAAAGUUGUUCAUAUAUGAAUUUAUUUCAACUGUUCUCAAUAUAGCUGUUGUUUCUAUACUUGAUUUUGAUGCUUCCUGUAUGUAUUUUGUUCUUUGUUGGAUUCUGGAUAUGAGCUUGUGUAUUACCGUGUUUGAUGUCAUUAUCCAUCACAGAACUCGGCCUUUGUCAGUGGUCUUCUAAUGUGACAUAAUGCUGUUUUGUUCUCGAUGAUAACUCCUGUCUGUGAUGUCGUAAGACACUUAUUUUGCUUGUAUCCGUAUAUGGCUAUACAGAUAACACUCCUGUUAGCUGCUACUGUAUAUACAUUUUCACGUAAGCUUAUAGACUCUUGUUGAAGACGCAGAAUAAGGUUCUGAACAAAAUGAACCUGACAUAAGUCCGAAGAAGUUGAAAACCAACAUGACCUGAGGAAGCUGGUGAUGCUGCAGCGAUGCUAUAUAAGAAAUGUGUGUGUAUUAUUAUAUAUGUUAUCGAUAAUUCAUCCUUUCUUAGAGAAGUUGCCUUGUUUAAUCAAGACAACAACUCUUCAGUUGAUUGAGCCAUAUCCAUUUUCUUUGGAUAAUGUAAUACAAGAACAGAAAGAUUCUGAAGGAAAUCGCGCUGCUGUUAACAGUUGCCAUUUUGUUGGCUUGUUGCUCUAUAUGUUACUGAUUACUCGGAGAGUAACACCGUUUUCGACUAAUUCUCCCACAUCAGCAUCUGAGAGAGAAGUGGAGUAAAGACAGUAGUAUUAGUAAUGAGCUGAGCAGGCUGGAAAACUUACUUACCUGGACGGGGUCAAUGGGCGAUCAAUAAGACCUAUGGCCUAGGCUUGUGACCUCCAUUGCACUUUGGAGGGGUGCCUGCCUAAGGUCGGCCCAAGUGGUCGAGCCUACGUCAUAAUUUGUUGCUAUGGGGGCCUGCGUUCGCGCAGCCCCUGCCCAAAUCUACGCCCAAAAAUUUCUCUGGCCCAUCUGAAUUUUACAAAAACAUAUGUUUUCUCUGCCCCAUCUGUUUGAUAUAAGAUUAUUUCGACUACAUUAUCAAACACAACGAUAAGUGAUGUCUAUAUGACUAACAAUCUAAAAGUGCCAUAAGUCAAAGAAGGCGCGAUAAUGAGUCUUGGCUUCAAAGAUCAAAUAUUUGUCUUGAAAAUACAAACCAGCUACAGUACUAUUACAUUGGGCCUGAUCUUAUGGGUAGCGAAUACCUUUAGCAGAUGCAGGAGCUUGUGGAUGAUUCCAAGAGUUUGUGCUGCAUAUUCUUAAGUUUGGCAAAGGCCAUUAGUCUAAAAACUAAUACCUGUUUGAAGGACUAGUUACAGAUUGCUAAGUUCUAGAUGACUUACUUCUACAGAAAUUGGUUUACUAGAACAAUUGUUUAUAUGGCAUUGGUGAGAGUUGCUUUGGCUGAUCGAUACAAAACGAAGAUCUGCUGAAACAGAUAAGGGUAUAGCUGGUUUGCUUAUGGUCCUUUGGUUUGUAAGAUCAAUGGCUAUACAGUUAACAUUUUCAUGUAAGACUGAAGAAGUUGAAAACUAACAUGACCUGAGGAAGCUGGUGAUGCUGCAGCGAUGCUAUAUAAGAAAUGUGUGUGUAUUAUAUACGUUGUCCAAAAUUCAUCCUUUCAUAGAGAACUUGACUUGUUUAAUUAAGACAACACUCUUCAGUUGAUUGAGCCAUAUCAUCCAUUUAUAACUCAAAAUCUGAUUUUAUUAAUGUCUCUUGAAUGCUCUCUUUGAGUAUAGACUUCAGUUUUUUCCUCCAUUUCUUUUGAUGAUUGCCAUGUUACCAGAGACUAACUUUUUGUUAUCUAUGCCGGGGAGAAUGUCAGCGUGUUGCUACUUAGUUUAGCGAUGUUGUAUAUGUUACUGAUUACUCGGAGAUUAACGCCAUUUUGGACUAAUUCUCCCACAUCAGUAUCUGAGAGAGAGAAGUGGAGCAAAAGCAGUAGUAUUAAUAAUGGGCUGAGCUCACUGGAUUACAUACUUACCUGGACGGGGUCAAUGGGCGAUCAAUAAGACCUAUGGCCUAGGCUUGUGACCUUCAUUGCACUUUGGAGGGGUGCCUGCCUAAGGUCGGCCCAAGUGGUCGAGCCUACGUCACAAUUUGUUGCUGCGGGAGCCUGCGUUCGCGCGGCCCCUACCCAAACCUAAGUAAAAAUGUUCAUCUCUUUAGUUGAUUGAGUAGAGUAAUGCAUAUCUUAUUUAUUUAAAAUACCU
rnacentral:lncRNA from 1 species